rnacentral:tRNA from 1 species
AAAGGGAGACCUAAUUCGGGUAUAAGACGAAAAAAUAGUAGUCGAAACCAAGAAUCAAUCCCAAAAGGUCGGAGCGAGGCGAAAUUGGCUUUCAAACUAGGUUCUGGGUUCACAGAAGACCUGAAUCAGGAACAAGGGCUAUUAGCUCAGGUGGUUAGAGCGCACCCCUGAUAAGGGUGAGGUCCCUGGUUCGAGUCCAGGAUGGCCCACCUGCACAGGUGGUAAAAACAAGAGAAGCGAGGAAUCAGCACCUUAUCUUACUUACAUAGUAAGAGAGAAUGCUGGCUCUGAGUAAAGAGUCCAGAGGAACCUUGAAAACUGCAUAGAGCUAGGUGAAAAAGCCAAAAAAGAAGACCGCAAAG